rnacentral:rRNA from 1 species
UCGAGCGGACAGAUGGGAGCUUGCUCCCUGAUGUUAGCGGCGGACGGGUGAGUUACACGUGGGUAACCUGCCUGUAAGACUGGGAUAACUCCGGGAAACCGGGGCUAAUACCGGAUGCUUGAUUGAACCGCAUGGUUCAAUUAUAAAAGGUGGCUUCUGCUUCCCCUUUCAGAUGGACCCCCCGCCCCUUAACUAAUUGGUGGGGUAAUGGCUCCCCAAGGGGACGAUGCGUUACCCAACUGAAAAGGUGAUCGGCCACCCUGGGAAUGAAACACCGCCCCAACUCCUACGGGAGGCAGCAGUAGGGAAUCUUCCCCAAUGGACGAAAAUUUGACGGAACAACGCCCCGUGAAUGAUGAAGGUUUUUCGAUCCUAAAACUCUGUUGUUAGGGAAAAACAAAUGCCCUACUAAAUGGGCGGGACUUUGCAGGGUCCAUACCAAAAACCCCGGGGUAAUUUCUGUCCACCCACCCGGGGAAAUCUAUGGGGGGAAAGUUUUCCCGGAAUUUUUGGGGCAAAAGGCUCGCCAGGGGGUUUUUUUAUCUUAUAUGAAAAACCCCCGGGCUCACCGGGAGGGGGUCUUUGAAAUCGGGGAAUUUUGUGUCCAAAAAAGAAAAGGGAAUUCCCAUGUGUCCGGGAAAAGUGCAAA